rnacentral:rRNA from 1 species
CAAUAGCGUAUAUUAAAGUUGUUGCAGUUAAAAAGCUCGUAGUUGGAUUUCUGGUAGGAGUGACCGUUCCGAACUUGGUUGUUCGUGUAUUGUGUUUUCUCCAGCCAUCCUUGUGGAGAACUUUUCUUGCAUUAAUUUGUAGGGAUUGGGACCCGCAUCGUUUACUGUGAAAAAAUUAGAGUGUUUAAAGCAGGCAAUCGCUUGAAUACACUAGCAUGGAAUAAUAAGAUAGGACUUUGGUACUAUUUUGUUGGUUUGCAUACCAAAUUAAUGAUCAACAGGAACAGUUUGAGGAUAUUCGUAUGAACAUGUCAGAGGUGAAAUUCUUGGAUUUUGAUCAGACGAACUACUGCGAAAGCAUUUAUCAAGGAUGUUUUCAUUAA